rnacentral:misc_RNA from 1 species
GAUGAAGAACGUAGCGAAAUGCGAUACUUGGUGUGAAUUGCAGAAUCCCGUGAACCAUCGAGUCUUUGAACGCAAGCUGCGCCCGAAGCCAUUAGGCCGAGGGCACGCCUGCCUGGGCGUCACACGUCGUUGCCCCCCCCAUCUACUCCUUCGGGAUUGCGGGGGGCGGAUGAUGGCCUCCCGUGCGCCUCGCCGCGCGGUUGGCAUAAAUGCCAAGUCCUCGGCGACGCACGCCACGACAAUCGGUGGUUGCGAAACCUCGGUUGCCCGUCGUGUGCGGUCGUCGCGCAUCGAGGGCUCGAAAAAAUUGCCGAGUUCCGGCUCGGCUUUCAACGCGACCCCAGGUCAGGCGGGGUUACCCGCUGAAUUUAAGCAUAUCAAUAAGCGGAGGA